rnacentral:sRNA from 1 species
AAAGACCUUUAAAAACCCCAGCUUGACUCUGGCGGGCUGAGGGUGCUGCCGUGCCACUGCUGCAGGAUGGAGCUCUCUUCCUGGUGGACACUUGAUUCACAAGGACGCUAAUUAUUCAUUCUUCCUCCGUGCAGCCCGCUGAAACAAUUGCUGUGCUUGUUCGGUGCACAGUGUGGCAUCGGACAGUCAGGCCUUUUUAUGUAACUGAUGGCGCUGUAGGAAUGAAUUGAUAGCCAGAUACAUCAAACUCAGGACAGGCAAGACGAGGACCAGAAAACAGGUGUCUAGUCAUAUACAGGUCUUAGCAAGAAAGAAAGUUCGAGAAAUUCAAGCCGCCAUUAAGGUACGUCUGGCUUGCCCACUUGUAGGGGGCUUUUCAUCUCCAUGGUUACAGGCUUUUCCUUUGUUUUCCUCCCUUCCCCUACCCUGCAGGUGUCUAGUCACAUUCAGGUUCUUGCCAGAAGGAAAUCUCGUGAUUUUCAUUCCAAGCUAAAGGUAUGCGCUUUUCUGCUUUUUGGCUUGUGGUUGCUAUGCAUCUCACUUCCUGUUUUCCAUGGUGACUGGUAAAUGCCUGGUGCUGGGAUUCUUGUAACCUAGUUUCCUUGCAUGUGAGAGCUGUUUACAUUUCUUUGUGUUUAAUCUCUCUGUUUCUGUACUAGCCUCACAUUAAACUCAAUGUGUGUGAGCGCGUGCGUGUGUUUGCGUGUGUUGUGUGUGUGUUUGUGUGUGUUCCUAAUAACAAUGCAAAUGCAGCGGAGAGCUGGUCUUGAUAACUUUUCAGCACAGCAACAUGAUUUUUUUUUUUUAACCUUCAGAUGUCCACCAAGCAGCCAUGGGCUAGGAAAGCUUAAAAAAAGAAAAGUCCAGAGAUGCAAAAUUGAGUAGAGAUUAUUUAGAAAGAAUCAUUUCCAAAGUGGUCAUGAAAUUACCUUUUUAAAAAAUUUAGAAAUUAUUUUAACUCAUGCUUUUGAUGUAUUUUUAAGAAGACUUAUAAAAAAUACGUCUUUUUCAUGCAUGUCUCUUCCCGCAGAGUAUUUUCUGCCAGAUUUCUUCCACAUUGCUUACUACUGUUUUUUAAGUGAAUGGCACUCUUAUUAAAAGAGAAAUCUGAGCAGUGGCCUUUAAAAAAAA